AUGGGACAGCUGGCGAUGGGAUGCCAGGUUAUGAAUGACACAGUAGGCGACAGGACAGCAGGUGACAGGAUGCCAGAUAUCCAGGAUGGGACAGCAAGUGAUGGGAUGCCAGUUGAUGGAACAGCCGGUGACAAUGCAGUAGGUAGGCCAGGUAAUAGGAUAGUAGGUGAUGGGAUGGCAGCUGAUAGGACACCUGGUGGCAGGACAGCAGGUGAUGGCAUGCCAGGUGAUGGGACAGUUAGUGAUGACACAGCAGGUGACUGGACACCAGGUGACAGGACAGCAAGUGACCAGAUCCCAGGUGAUGGGACAGCAGAUGACAGGAUGCCAAGUGACAGGACAGCGGAUGGCACAGCAGGUGACGGGAUGCCAGAUGGUAGGACGGCAGGUGACGGGACACCUGGGGUGGUUGAGUUGGUUGAGUGUCCAGCUUUUGACUUUGGCUCAGGUCGUGAUCAGGGUCGUGAGAUCGAGCCCCCAUUGGGCCCCACGCCAGCGGGGAGUCUGCUUGAGAGUCUCUCCCCCUGCCGUUACCCCACGCAUGCGCUCUCUCAAAUAAAUCUUUAUUUUUUAUUUAUUUUUAAUUUUUUAAAAAAUAUUUUAUCUAUUUAUUCAUGGGAGACACAGAGAGAGAGAGAGAGAGGCAGAGACCCAGGCGGAGGGAGAAGCAGGCUCCAUGCAGGGAGCCCGACGUGGGACUCGAUCCCGGGACCCCAGGAUCAGGCCCUGGCUGAAGGCGGCGCUAAGCCGCUGGGCCACCCGGGCGCCCUCAAAUCUUUAAAUAGAAACAAAGUCUCUCAGCAGCUGGGCUUCCUGAGGGAGCAGGCACGGACCGUGCCGCCCGGCCCUUCCGGGCCCUUCCGCAGCUCCCGCAGAACCGUCCCCACGAGGAGCACGUUUGCGGCCCCUCCCACGAGAAACGCACUAGCUGGGGCCGUUUCUGAACAGCCGCCGUCCACGCGAAUCCUUCUCUGUUUUCAGCCCGAGCCCUGGGGAUGCUGCCGGUCAGGCUGGCGUCUGGCAUGUGCUUGGCGGCGGGACGCGAGCCCCGACCUUGGAUUCUGGGGCACGUCCCGCAGAGCCUACCCGCCGGGAGGCGCGUCCUCCGGCUUGCUGCUGGCGACGCGGGCCGGGUGGGGCAGGUGA
rnacentral:lncRNA from 12 species